CUUGGUGUCUUUCUAAAAAGUCUGCUGCAGUUUAGCCAGUUGAGCUUAAUGCAGGAGUCACCGGAUCAAAUCUAUGGCCUGUGUAAUAUAGGUCAGACUAGGUCUGCCUGAGAUUGAAAGCUCUCUGAAUUGCUAACCAAUCUAUACCCUGAAGGACACACCUCAGCCAUCCUGUGCUACAUGAAUCAUGCAGGAAUGGGGCCAGCGCAGAAAGGACAUCUGUGCUUCCCGGACCUACAGAACCCCUGCCACAUUCAUUGCGCAGGAUGGACAGCGCUCACUGAAUGAGCAUCUCUUUGACCUUUUGUUUCAUCCUCCUUGUUCAAUGCUUGGCCUGUUGUGUUCAUCUCCAGGGCCAAACAAAUUAAAGGUGCCAUUAACUCUUCUACAGUCCAGCAGUAAAACAGUGACAGGGAGGUUUGGAGUUGUUUCUGCUUGACUUGGUUUCUUGGCUUGUGCCCAAAAGCAUUUAUUCUCAAGUGGAAAGUUGAUUCAUCAAUCACAUGAAGUAGCAAGAAAUCCAAACAAGCAUUUCUAUUGAAACUGAA